CUGACGACAGGAAGUGACCCAGCAGGCUGUCACAGGUACACACCUGACGACAGGAAGUGACCCAGCAGGCUGUCACAGGUACACACCUGACGACAGGAAGUGACCCAGCAGGCUGUCACAGGUACACACCUGACGACAGGAAGUGACCCAGCAGGCUGUCACAGGUACACACCUGACGACAGGAAGUGA